rnacentral:rRNA from 1 species
ACUAAGCGUACACGGUGGAUGCCCUGGCAGUCAGAGGCGAUGAAGGACGUGCUAAUCUGCGAUAAGCGUCGGUAAGGUGAUAUGAACCGUUAUAACCGGCGAUUUCCGAAUGGGGAAACCCAGUGUGAUUCGUCACACUAUCAUUAACUGAAUCCAUAGGUUAAUGAGGCGAACCGGGGGAACUGAAACAUCUAAGUACCCCGAGGAAAAGAAAUCAACCGAGAUUCCCCCAGUAGCGGCGAGCGAACGGGGAGCAGCCCAGAGCCUGAAUCAGUGUGUGUGUUAGUGGAAGCGUCUGGAAAGGCGUGCGAUACAGGGUGACAGCCCCGUACACAAAAAUGCACAUGCUGUGAGCUCGAUGAGUAGGGCGGGACACGUGGUAUCCUGUCUGAAUAUGGGGGGACCAUCCUCCAAGGCUAAAUACUCCUGACUGACCGAUAGUGAACCAGUACCGUGAGGGAAAGGCGAAAAGAACCCCGGCGAGGGGAGUGAAAAAGAACCUGAAACCGUGUACGUACAAGCAGUGGGAGCACAGAGCAAUCUGUGUGACUGCGUACCUUUUGUAUAAUGGGUCAGCGACUUAUAUUCUGUAGCAAGGUUAACCGAAUAGGGGAGCCGAAGGGAAACCGAGUCUUAACUGGGCGUUAAGUUGCAGGGUAUAGACCCGAAACCCGGUGAUCUAGCCAUGGGCAGGUUGAAGGUUGGGUAACACUAACUGGAGGACCGAACCGACUAAUGUUGAAAAAUUAGCGGAUGACUUGUGGCUGGGGGUGAAAGGCCAAUCAAACCGGGAGAUAGCUGGUUCUCCCCGAAAGCUAUUUAGGUAGCGCCUCGUGAAUUCAUCUCCGGGGGUAGAGCACUGUUUCGGCAAGGGGGUCAUCCCGACUUACCAACCCGAUGCAAACUGCGAAUACCGGAGAAUGUUAUCACGGGAGACACACGGCGGGUGCUAACGUCCGUCGUGAAGAGGGAAACAACCCAGACCGCCAGCUAAGGUCCCAAAGUCAUGGUUAAGUGGGAAACGAUGUGGGAAGGCCCAGACAGCCAGGAUGUUGGCUUAGAAGCAGCCAUCAUUUAAAGAAAGCGUAAUAGCUCACUGGUCGAGUCGGCCUGCGCGGAAGAUGUAACGGGGCUAAACCAUGCACCGAAGCUGCGGCAGCGACGCUUAUGCGUUGUUGGGUAGGGGAGCGUUCUGUAAGCCUGCGAAGGUGUGCUGUGAGGCAUGCUGGAGGUAUCAGAAGUGCGAAUGCUGACAUAAGUAACGAUAAAGCGGGUGAAAAGCCCGCUCGCCGGAAGACCAAGGGUUCCUGUCCAACGUUAAUCGGGGCAGGGUGAGUCGACCCCUAAGGCGAGGCCGAAAGGCGUAGUCGAUGGGAAACAGGUUAAUAUUCCUGUACUUGGUGUUACUGCGAAGGGGGGACGGAGAAGGCUAUGUUGGCCGGGCGACGGUUGUCCCGGUUUAAGCGUGUAGGCUGGUUUUCCAGGCAAAUCCGGAAAACUAAGGCUGAGGCGUGAUGACGAGGCACUACGGUGCUGAAGCAACAAAUGCCCUGCUUCCAGGAAAAGCCUCUAAGCAUCAGGUAACAUCAAAUCGUACCCCAAACCGACACAGGUGGUCAGGUAGAGAAUACCAAGGCGCUUGAGAGAACUCGGGUGAAGGAACUAGGCAAAAUGGUGCCGUAACUUCGGGAGAAGGCACGCUGAUAUGUAGGUGAAGCGACUUGCUCGUGGAGCUGAAAUCAGUCGAAGAUACCAGCUGGCUGCAACUGUUUAUUAAAAACACAGCACUGUGCAAACACGAAAGUGGACGUAUACGGUGUGACGCCUGCCCGGUGCCGGAAGGUUAAUUGAUGGGGUUAGCGCAAGCGAAGCUCUUGAUCGAAGCCCCGGUAAACGGCGGCCGUAACUAUAACGGUCCUAAGGUAGCGAAAUUCCUUGUCGGGUAAGUUCCGACCUGCACGAAUGGCGUAAUGAUGGCCAGGCUGUCUCCACCCGAGACUCAGUGAAAUUGAACUCGCUGUGAAGAUGCAGUGUACCCGCGGCAAGACGGAAAGACCCCGUGAACCUUUACUAUAGCUUGACACUGAACAUUGAGCCUUGAUGUGUAGGAUAGGUGGGAGGCUUUGAAGUGUGGACGCCAGUCUGCAUGGAGCCGACCUUGAAAUACCACCCUUUAAUGUUUGAUGUUCUAACGUUGACCCGUAAUCCGGGUUGCGGACAGUGUCUGGUGGGUAGUUUGACUGGGGCGGUCUCCUCCUAAAGAGUAACGGAGGAGCACGAAGGUUGGCUAAUCCUGGUCGGACAUCAGGAGGUUAGUGCAAUGGCAUAAGCCAGCUUGACUGCGAGCGUGACGGCGCGAGCAGGUGCGAAAGCAGGUCAUAGUGAUCCGGUGGUUCUGAAUGGAAGGGCCAUCGCUCAACGGAUAAAAGGUACUCCGGGGAUAACAGGCUGAUACCGCCCAAGAGUUCAUAUCGACGGCGGUGUUUGGCACCUCGAUGUCGGCUCAUCACAUCCUGGGGCUGAAGUAGGUCCCAAGGGUAUGGCUGUUCGCCAUUUAAAGUGGUACGCGAGCUGGGUUUAGAACGUCGUGAGACAGUUCGGUCCCUAUCUGCCGUGGGCGCUGGAGAACUGAGGGGGGCUGCUCCUAGUACGAGAGGACCGGAGUGGACGCAUCACUGGUGUUCGGGUUGUCAUGCCAAUGGCACUGCCCGGUAGCUAAAUGCGGAAGAGAUAAGUGCUGAAAGCAUCUAAGCACGAAACUUGCCCCGAGAUGAGUUCUCCCUGACUCCUUGAGAGUCCUGAAGGAACGUUGAAGACGACGACGUUGAUAGGCCGGGUGUGUAAGCGCAGCGAUGCGUUGAGCUAACCGGUACUAAUGAACCGUGAGGCUUAACC